rnacentral:rRNA from 1 species
UACGUAGGGUGCGAGCGUUAAUCGGAAUUACUGGGCGUAAAGCGUGCGCAGGCGGUUAUGUAAGACAGAUGUGAAAUGCCCGGGCUUAACCUGGGAACUGCAUUUGUGACUGCAUGGCUAGAGUGCGGCAGAGGGGGAUGGAAUUCCGCGUGUAGCAGUGAAAUGCGUAGAUAUGCGGAGGAACACCGAUGGCGAAGGCAAUCCCCUGGGCCUGCACUGACGCUCAUGCACGAAAGCGUGGGGAGCAAACAGG